UUGUUACUCUUAACGAUCGAUUGUGAAUUGAAACAACAUUUCAAUUUUCCCUUUGAUUUGUGUUGGCUAAUCUUCAAGGCUUCCACAAACCAUGAGUGACACCUAGCAGCAUAUCAUGGUUACCCAAGCUAAGUAGAAGUGGUUGGAGAACCUAUCUAGUUACAACUACAAUGCAAUACGGUUCUUCUCUAAUACAAUACUCUUAAUCACAUUGUUUGAGUGAUAGUUUGUUUCAUGUCUACUAUCCAAUGUGAUACUUCUCUAUAUGAUUCGAUUAAAUAUGAUUUGGAACAAAUUUCCUAAGUCAUAUUCAAAUGCUUUGGCCAAAGACUCCCGAAUCAUAUCUUAGAGUAUUUUCUUUCCACCAUAGAAGGUUAGAGAUCCCUUGUUGUGCAUUCAUAUGCCUACAUGACUAGAUAGCUUGA
rnacentral:lncRNA from 1 species